rnacentral:rRNA from 1 species
GACGAACGCUGGCGGCGUGCCUAAUACAUGCAAGUCGAACGAACCGCGACUAGGUGCUUGCACUUGGUCAAGGUGAGUGGCGAACGGGUGAGUAACACGUGGGUAACCUACCUCAUAGUGGGGGAUAACAGUCGGAAACGACUGCUAAUACCGCAUAGGACAUAGGAUCACAUGAUCCAGUGAGGACAGGUGGCGCAGGCUAUCGCUAAGAGAUGGACCCGCGGUGCAUUAGCUAGUUGGGAGGGUAAAGGCCUACCAAGGCGAUGAUGCAUAGCCGACCUGAGAGGGUGAUCGGCCACAUUGGGACUGAGACACGGCCCAAACUCCUACGGGAGGCAGCAGUAGGGAAUCUUCCGCAAUGGACGCAAGUCUGACGGAGCAACGCCGCGUGAGUGAAGAAGGUCUUCGGAUCGUAAAGCUCUGUUGUUAGAGAAGAACAGCGCAUAGAGUAACUGUUAUGCGUGUGACGGUAUCUAACCAGAAAGCCACGGCUAACUACGUG